GUUUCCUCAUCUGAAGUGGGCCUCGUAAUGGUAGCUACCUUGUGAGACUAAGGCAGCCCCUGGGAGCUCAGGGAUGUUUCCUGUCACUAUCCUCCCAGAGGAAGGCUCUGGUCUCUUUGCACAGCCUGACAGCUGCCUGGGGGGCCCCCCUGGCGCAGGCCUGGCCUUUCUCUGCUGGGCCCUGGGUGCCGUGCUGGAACGCUGCCCCUGCAGCAGCUCACAGGCCUGCCUGGCUGCAGGUUCUUCUUCCGCAGUGGGAACAUCGAGCACCCGGAGGACAAGCUCUUCAACACGUCCGUGGAGGUGCUGCCCUUCGACGUAAGUUCGGUAGGUGUGGUGUGCACUGAAGCCGGGCCUCCUGUGGCCACCUGCUUCAGCCCUUGAUUCUGCCCCCAGAACCCUCAGUCAGACAAGGAGGCCCUGCAGGAGGGCCGCACCGCCACCCUCCGGUACCCUCGGAGCCCCGACGGCUACCUCCAGAUCGGUGGGUAGGGUUUGGGGGAGAGCGUGGGCUGGGGUUCGGGGACACCCUCUCAGCGCUGCCCUCCCCCAGGCUCCUUCUACAAGGGAGUGGCAGAGGGAGAGGUGGACCCAGCCUUCGGCCCUCUGGAAGCACUGCGCCUCUCGAUCCAGACGGACUCCCCUGUGUGGGUGAUUCUGAGCGAGGUGAGGCUGGGCAGGGCCAGGCCAGGCACGGGGAGGAGCCAGGGAGACCCUGGCGGAGC
rnacentral:sRNA from 1 species